UACGGAGGGUGCAAGCGUUAAUCGGAAUUAUUGGGCGUAAAGGGUGCGUAGAUGGUUUAAUAAGUUAAGUGUGAAAGCCCUGGGCUUAACCUGGGGACUGCAUUUAAGACUGUUAGACUAGAGUAUGGGAGAGGGUAGUGGAAUUUCCGGUGUAGCGGUGAAAUGCGUAGAGAUCGGAAGGAACACCAGUGGCGAAGGCGGCUACCUGGCCUAAUACUGACAUUGAGGCACGAAAGCGUGGGGAGCAAACAGG
rnacentral:rRNA from 1 species